CUAAGAGGAAGGAAGACAGCUCCUGUGUGGACUCAGAAGACGCAACUGGAAUUACCUGGUAGUCCAGGGACCAAAGGUGGACCUGGAGUUAAAGGCGAGCCUGGUCCCAGAGGUCAUGCCGGCAUGUCCGGUGACCCUUGACCUUUGGGCGAGCCUGGGGUUCCUGGUAUGGAAGGAGUUCCUGGUCCCAAGGGAAGCAAAGGAGAGAGAGAGAGGACGGAUGGGCGUUCCAGGUGCUUAAGGUCUGAGUGGAACCAAAGGAGACAAGGUAUGUGGUGAAAAAGCCCACCAGGGGGCAGUGAUUACCCAGGAG